UAUUACGUUUUUUUAACCUUAGUUCCAUCUACAUGUGGUAUAAAUGGCAUGUUUACAAAUUAUUACUUUUCAAUAUGAAUAUGCAUUUCUUAGCAAUCGCAAUUUUUAUUUUUUAUUACAACUUUGUUAACCUUUAGUUACAAGUGUUAACCAAGCUGUAGCAGCUGCUACAAGUGGUAAUACAAGUGCCUUAUAAACAAUUAUUUUUUAAUAUAUGUAUCUUUUAUGUAUGUGUUAAAAUGUUGUUUCAAAUAUGUGCAUGCCAUGGGUGGAUACUCAAACCUGCAUCUUGUAAUGUGCAUUACGUCAGGUAUUGAAUGGUUCUUUAAACAGUUUACUUAAUAUAUCAUGUGGUAUAAAUGUUACAAGUGUUAAUCAAGCUGUAGCAGCUGCAACAAGUGCAUUACGUCAGGUAUUGAAUGGUUCUUUAAACAGUUUACUUAAUAUAUACAUGUGGUAUAAAUGGUAUGUUUACAAAUUAUUACUUUUCAAUAUGAAUAUGCAUUUCUUAGCAAUCGCUAAUUCAAUACGUCAGGUAUUGAAUGGUCCUUUAAACAGUUUACUUAAUAUAUCAAUAUUAUCAUUUUGGAAUAUUUAACUCUCUGUGCUUACUUUUGAAAACUUCAUUGAUACCCUUGAAUGAGAUAUCAGAUACAUUAACGCUUCGUAUAAAUAUUGAUGGUGUACCUUUAUCAAGAUGUUUAGUUUUAUGUAUUUGGCCUAUUCUUGGUAUGGUAAAAGAACUACCUCAUCUUGGUGUCUUUACAAUAGGCAUCUACUCAGGAAAUUCCAAGCCUAACUGUGUAAAUGGCUAUUUAAAAGCUUUUGUUGAUGAUAUGUUGACAGUAGCAAAAAUUGAUGUAUUUUUUAAUGACAAAAAAUUUAAUAUUACUUUUGAUGGUUUUAUUUGUGAUGCACCUGCAAGAUCAUUUUUGAAGUGUACGAAAGGGCAUUCUGGAUAUUAUGGCUGUGAAAGGUGUACACAGAAAGGGGAGUACUUUAACAAUCGUAUAAUAUUUCCUGAACUUUCUCCUCCUUUAAGAACUGAUGAGCAAUUUAAUGCAUUUAUUUGACAUGGUCAUCAUAAUGGAAAAUCUUCUUUGCAUGACACAAGUAUUGGUGUUGUUGGUCAA
rnacentral:lncRNA from 1 species